rnacentral:misc_RNA from 1 species
GGGCUAUAAAUCCAUCUCCCACCGCAGCUACAGUUGCAGAGUUGAAAGUUGUUGAUCCAUCAACGACGUUGAGGCUACCGGUGAUAAUGGUGGAAUCCAUUCCAUCUCCAACGAUCAUUACAUUCUUUUUCUUCUUUCCCACUUCUACAUUUUCCUUAUAUAUCCCCUUCUUCACAUAUAUAACAACUCUGUUCUUGCUCUUAUCUGGCACUGCUUCAACCGCCUCCUUCACCGUCUUGAAAUUCCCACUCCCAUCCUUUGCCACCACGAUAUUCGCUUGCAU